rnacentral:rRNA from 1 species
AGUUUGAUCCUGGCUCAGAUUGAACGCUGGCGGCAGGCUUAACACAUGCAAGUCGAGCGGUAGCACGGGGGAGCUUGCUCCCUGGGUGACGAGCGGCGGACGGGUGAGUAAUGUCUGGGAAACUGCCUGAUGGAGGGGGAUAACUACUGGAAACGGUAGCUAAUACCGCAUAACGUCGCAAGACCAAAGAGGGGGACCUUCGGGCCUCUUGCCAUCAGAUGUGCCCAGAUGGGAUUAGCUAGUAGGUGGGGUAAUGGCUCACCUAGGCGACGAUCCCUAGCUGGUCUGAGAGGAUGACCAGCCACACUGGAACUGAGACACGGUCCAGACUCCUACGGGAGGCAGCAGUGGGGAAUAUUGCACAAUGGGCGCAAGCCUGAUGCAGCCAUGCCGCGUGUGUGAAGAAGGCCUUCGGGUUGUAAAGCACUUUCAGCGAGGAGGAAGGUGGUGAGCUUAAUACGCUCAUCAAUUGACGUUACUCGCAGAAGAAGCACCGGCUAACUCCGUGCCAGCAGCCGCGGUAAUACGGAGGGUGCAAGCGUUAAUCGGAAUUACUGGGCGUAAAGCGCACGCAGGCGGUUUGUUAAGUCAGAUGUGAAAUCCCCGGGCUCAACCUGGGGACUGCAUUUGAAACUGGCAAGCUAGAGUCUCGUAGAGGGGGGUAGAAUUCCAGGUGUAGCGGUGAAAUGCGUAGAGAUCUGGAGGAAUACCGGUGGCGAA